rnacentral:rRNA from 1 species
UACGUAGGGUGCAAGCGUUAAUCAGAAUUACUGGGCGUAAAGCGUGCGCAGGCGGUGAUGUAAGACAGGUGUGAAAUCCCCGGGCUUAACCUGGGAACUGCAUUUGUGACUGCAUCGCUGGAGUGCGGCAGAGGGGGAUGGAAUUCCGCGUGUAGCAGUGAAAUGCGUAGAUAUGCGGAGGAACACCGAUGGCGAAGGCAAUCCCCUGGGCCUGCACUGACGCUCAUGCACGAAAGCGUGGGGAGCAAACAGG